UCAAGUGAAUAAGAGCACGUGGUGGAUGCCUUGGCGAUGAUAGGCGACGAAGGACGUGAUAGCCUGCGAUAAGCUUCGGGGAGCUGGCAAAUUAGCUUUGAUCCGGAGAUUUCCGAAUGGGGAAACCCACCGAAAGGUAUCGCAUGAUGAAUACAUAGUCAUGCGAGGCGAACCGGGUGAACUGAAACAUCUCAGUAGCUCGAGGAAAAGACAUCAACCGAGAUUCCGAAAGUAGUGGCGAGCGAAAUCGGAGAAGCCUGUUAGUGAUAGCACAAGACAUAACGGAACAGCUUGGAAAGGCUGGCCAUAGCGGGUGAUAGCCCCGUACGUGAAAUGACCUGUGUGGUACUGAGCUAACGACAAGUAGGGCGGGACACGAGAAAUCCUGUCUGAAUAUGGGGGGACCAUCCUCCAAGGCUAAAUACUCAUCAUCGACCGAUAGUGAACUAGUACCGUGAGGGAAAGGCGAAAAGAACCCCGGGAGGGGAGUGAAAUAGAUCCUGAAACCGCGUGCUUACAAAAAGUAGGAGCCUCGUAAGGGGUGACUGCGUACCUUUUGUAUAAUGGGUCAGCGACUUACAUUCAGUGGCAAGGUUAACCGAAUAGGGAAGCCGUAGAGAAAUCGAGUCCGAAUAGGGCGAUCAGUCGCUGGGUGUAGACCCGAAACCAAGUGAUCUAUCCAUGGCCAGGAUGAAGGUGCCGUAACAGGUACUGGAGGUCCGAACCGACUAGUGUUGCAAAACUAGCGGAUGAGCUGUGGAUAGGGGUGAAAGGCUAAACAAACUUGGAAAUAGCUGGUUCUCUCCGAAAACUAUUUAGGUAGUGCCUCAAGUAUUACCUUCGGGGGUAGAGCACUGUUUUGGCUAGGGGGUCAUGGCGACUUACCAAACCAAGGCAAACUCCGAAUACCGAAGAGUACAGCUUGGGAGACAGAGCACCGGGUGCUAACGUCCGGACUCAAGAGGGAAACAACCCAGACCGCCAGCUAAGGUCCCUAAAAUUGGCUAAGUGGGAAACGAAGUGGGAAGGCUAAAACAGUCAGGAUGUUGGCUUAGAAGCAGCCAUCAUUUAAAGAAAGCGUAAUAGCUCACUGAUCGAGUCGUCCUGCGCGGAAGAUGUAACGGGGCUAAGCCAGUUACCGAAGCUGCGGAUUUGCAAUUUAUUGCAAGUGGUAGGAGAGCGUUCUGUAAGCCUGUGAAGGUGCGUUGUAAAGCGUGCUGGAGGUAUCAGAAGUGCGAAUGCUGACAUGAGUAGCGUUAAAGGGGGUGAAAAGCCCCCUCGCCGUAAGCGCAAGGUUUUCUACGCAACGUUCAUCGGCGUAGAGUGAGUCGGCCCCUAAGGCGAGGCAGAGAUGCGUAGCUGAUGGGAAACAGGUCAAUAUUCCUGUACCGAUAUAUAGUGCGAUGUGGGGACGGAUCUUAAUAGGUCAUCCGGGUGUUGGAUAUCCCGGUUUAGUUGGAUGUAGGCGUGCAUUAGGCAAAUCCGGUGCACAUAUACCGAGGCCAACGAUCGAGCGAGCUUGCUCGCGAAGUGACUGAACGAGGUUCCAGGAAAAGCCACUAAGCUUCAGCUAUAUACGACCGUACCGCAAACCGACACUGGUGCGCGAGAUGAGUAUUCUAAGGCGCUUGAGAGAACUCAGGAGAAGGAACUCGGCAAAUUGACACCGUAACUUCGGAAGAAGGUGUGCCCUAUUAGUGUGUAGUGAACAACGAAGCAUGAAUGGGUUGCAAAAAAUCGGUGGCUGCGACUGUUUAUUAAAAACACAGCACUCUGCAAACACGAAAGUGGACGUAUAGGGUGUGACGCCUGCCCGGUGCUGGAAGAUUAAAUGAUGGGGUGCAAGCUCUUGAUUGAAGUCCCAGUAAACGGCGGCCGUAACUAUAACGGUCCUAAGGUAGCGAAAUUCCUUGUCGGGUAAGUUCCGACCUGCACGAAUGGCGUAACGAUGGCCACACUGUCUCCUCCUGAGACUCAGCGAAGUUGAAAUGUUUGUGAUGAUGCAAUCUCCCCGCGGAAAGACGGAAAGACCCCAUGAACCUUUACUGUAGCUUUGUAUUGGACUUUGAACAGAUCUGUGUAGGAUAGGUGGGAGGCUUUGAAGCAGGGUCGCUAGAUCUUGUGGAGCCAACGUUGAAAUACCACCCUGGUGUGUUUGAGGUUCUAACCUAGGUCCAUUAUCUGGAUCGGGGACAGUGCAUGGUAGGCAGUUUGACUGGGGCGGUCUCCUCCCAAAGCGUAACGGAGGAGUUCGAAGGUACGCUAGUUACGGUCGGACAUCGUGACGAU
rnacentral:rRNA from 1 species